UCUCCGUUGGUGAGCCAGCGGAGGGAUCAUUACAGGACUCGCAAGACUCCUACAACCCUGUGAACUUGACUAUAAGCACGUUGCUUCGGCGGGUGUCUCGGAGGGGGUUCUCCCUCCCCGAGACGCUAAACCCGCCGGCAGCCUACUAUACUCUGUCUCUUUGCGUUGGCAUCUCGAGUACAAUCAAACAAGUUAAAACUUUCAACAACGGAUCUCUUGGUUCUG
rnacentral:misc_RNA from 1 species